rnacentral:rRNA from 1 species
AGUUUCUUCGGAAAUGAGUAAAGUGGCGCACGGGUGGGUAACACGUAGGUAACCUUCCCUCGAGUGUGGGAUAACACUCCGAAAGGAGUGCUAGAUACCGCAUAAGACUACAGUUUCUUCGGAUUCAGUGGUCAAAGGUAGUCUCUGUUUACAUGCUAUCGCUUGAGGAUGGGCUUGCGUCCUAUCAGCUUGUUGGUGAGGUAAUGGCUUACCAAGGCUAUGACGGGUAGCUGGUCUGAGAGGAUGAUCAGCCACACUGGAACUGAGACACGGUCCAGACUCCUACGGGAGGCAGCAGUGGGGAAUAUUGCGCAAUGGGGGAAACCCUGACGCAGCAACGCCGCGUGAGUGAAGAAGGCCUUCGGGUCGUAAAGCUCUGUCGGGAGGGGUGAAACAGAUGGGUGUUAAUAGCGCCCAUCUGGACGGUACC